AACGCAUAUUGCGCCCUUUGGUAUUCCGAAGGGCAUGCCUGUUCGAGCGUCAUUAUCAACCAUCAAGCUUGGCUUGUAGUUGGACCUAUUGGCUGGGGGAUGCCCCGACCGGUCCGAAAGAUAAUGAACGGGGGUACUCAGUGGCCUUGGAUGCAACGAGCUUUCUAAGCACGCAUCGAACGGUCGUUAGGCCCCGUCUUUUCCAUAUAAUUCUCUACGGUUGACCUCGGAUCAGGUAGGAAUACCCGCUGAACUUAA
rnacentral:misc_RNA from 1 species